rnacentral:rRNA from 1 species
GACGUAGGGGGCGAGCGUUGUCCGGAUUUAUUGGGCGUAAAGAGCUCGUAGGCGGCUUGUCGCGUCGACUGUGAAAACCCGCGGCUCAACCGUGUGGCUUGCAGUUGAUACGGGCAGGCUAGAGUUCGGUAGGGGAGACUGGAAUUCCUGGUGUAGCGGUGAAAUGCGCAGAUAUCAGGAGGAACACCGGUGGCGAAGGCGGGUCUCUGGGCCGAUACUGACGCUGAGGAGCGAAAGCGUGGGGAGCGAACAGG